AUGAACCUCACUUGUGGGGGGAUUAGUGGCGAACGGGUGAGUAACACGUGAGUAACCUGCCCUUAACUCUGGGAUAAGCCUGGGAAACUGGGUCUAAUACCGGAUAUGACUCCUCAUCGCAUGGUGGGGGGUGGAAAGCUUUUUGUGGUUUUGGAUGGACUCGCGGCCUAUCAGCUUGUUGGUGAGGUAAUGGCUUACCAAGGCGACGACGGGUAGCCGGCCUGAGAGGGUGACCGGCCACACUGGGACUGAGACACGGCCCAGACUCCUACGGGAGGCAGCAGUGGGGAAUAUUGCACAAUGGGCGCAAGCCUGAUGCAGCGACGCCGCGUGAGGGAUGACGGCCUUCGGGUUGUAAACCUCUUUCAGUAGGGAAGAAGCGAAAGUGACGGUACCUGCAGAAGAAGCGCCGGCUAACUACGUGCCAGCAGCCGCGGUAAUACGUAGGGCGCAAGCGUUAUCCGGAAUUAUUGGGCGUAAAGAGCUCGUAGGCGGUUUGUCGCGUCUGCCGUGAAAGUCCGGGGCUCAACUCCGGAUCUGCGGUGGGUACGGGCAGACUAGAGUGAUGUAGGGGAGACUGGAAUUCCUGGUGUAGCGGUGAAAUGCGCAGAUAUCAGGAGGAACACCGAUGGCGAAGGCAGGUCUCUGGGCAUUAACUGACGCUGAGGAGCGAAAGCAUGGGGAGCGAACAGGAUUAGAUACCCUGG
rnacentral:rRNA from 1 species